UAAGUGUGAGAUCAGCCCUCCCCCACCCCGACUGCACAGAAACAAACAAAAGACGUUCGCGUUGGCGGGGUGGUGGUGGCCAGCGUGCUGACUCAUCCGUUUCCCAUUUCGCGGGCCACGCGCAUCUAUCGACUUUCAUUCUUGCCAGGUUCCCCCCAACUUCAGUCUCGACGUUUGCCGUGCAUUUGUGUGAUUGCCUCUCUUUCCUUCUCGCUGCAAAACGUGUCUGGGCCUCUUGCAGAGGGGUCUUACCUAUUUCUCUCGUGUGGUUUGCGGCCGCGACGUACGGGUAUAUGGGCGUGCGUGUUAGCCCUUUCCCCCUCCCUCUUAUGUUGGGGAAGAUGUCAACUCGUUUUACUACCUCGUCUGUGAUUUCAAGCCAGACCCACCUCGACCAAUCCCCAUCAUGUCUGCCACCGCGUGAGAGACAUGAUGAAUAAGGAAGGGCAGCACUCUGCAAUUUCGUUGAAGUCGUCACAAGGGCAGGCAGCGAUUCCGUGAGAGCAGAGCAGAGAGGCCCGUUCCCCCCAUCUCAGACUCGAACAAUGGGACGGAGUCCUUCAGCUCAACAACUGCCUUCUCUUUCCCCUCAACCCUCUUCCUGAUCUCACACUCGUGAGAUCACGAGGGCACUUCGUAUGUGAUCAUGCUUGUGUGGGUGCCCGUGUGUCCGCGUGCGGGAAGCGCACUCUUUUCCUUCCCUUCGUGUGUGUGUCUUCUCUUUUUCUUCCCCCCUUUGACACUAUUUCGUUUCCUUGACCGUGCCGUAUCGUGAUGGCCAUGUGCCUCUCCCUCUUUCCUUUCCCCACGGGUCUUGACGUCCUCCGCACUUCAUCGCUGUAUUUUUCAACACGUGGGGGGGGGCGAGAGGGCAGACGGGUUCGGCAGCGCCAACGGCGACGACCACGAUGGACGACUGUGAACACUGCCUAUGCACACAG
rnacentral:misc_RNA from 1 species